GAUGAACGCUGGCGGCGUGCCUAACACAUGCAAGUCGAGCGAAGCAUUUAACAUGAAGUUUUCGGACGGAAUGUUAUCUGACUGAGCGGCGGACGGGUGAGUAACGCGUGGGUAACCUGCCUUAUACAGGGGGAUAACAGUUAGAAAUGACUGCUAAUACCGCAUAAGCGCACAGUACCGCAUGGUACAGUGUGAAAAACUCCGGUGGUAUAAGAUGGACCCGCGUCUGAUUAGCCAGUUGGCGGGGUAACGGCCCACCAAAGCGACGAUCAGUAGCCGACCUGAGAGGGUGACCGGCCACAUUGGGACUGAGACACGGCCCAA
rnacentral:rRNA from 1 species